GGGUGACUGAAGCCAUCCCGGACAGAUGCUCAUUAGGACAGAUGUGGUUCUCCCGAGAAUUGUUUAUUAUUUUUGACUUUUUAGUUCGUUUAAUUUAAUAAUUACUAAAACCAGUAGUUCGAAAGAUAUAUUUAAAAAUAAAAGAUAAAAAUCCAAAAAAUUAAUUAUCUAUUAACGUGGAUUUGGACCACAAUAGGUUUUUAGUUUGUGAUGUUUCAUGUGAUGAUCAUUUUCAUGUUCAUCGUCUUUGAAUUGACAUGAGGAUAUCUAUGGAAAAGUAACUAAUCUGAAAGUAAGCCAACAUAUCGUUUGUCCUUUGUGUGCUAAAGAAAAGAUUUUCUUUUCGCAUCAUGAGGAAGUAUUACAUCAAUUAAAAAAUGUUAGGAAGUUGAUUAUUUGUCAUGGAAAAGUAUACCAAUGGAAAUUAUUUGUUAAAGAAGUAUAAUUCUAAGGGUUUUAAGAAUAAAUUGGUUGAACCCAAAAUCUGGAGGAAGUACCUAUAUCUAUCCAUACACAGAAUAUGCCCAUUAAAAAUACUAGUCCAAAUUUGCUUUAAUGGUAGACAAUUAUUCAAUACAAAUUAACUUUUUAAGUGACUGAAAUAUUAAAUAGUUUAGAAUAUGGUAAAACAAUGUAAAAAAAUAUUA